GUGGGGAAUAUUGGACAAUGGGCGCAAGCCUGAUCCAGCAAUGCCGCGUGCAGGAAGAAGGCCUUCGGGUUGUAAACUGCUUUUGUACGGAACGAAACGGUCCGGGUUAAUACCCUGGGCUAAUGACGGUACCGUAAGAAUAAGCACCGGCUAACUACGUGCCAGCAGCCGCGGUAAUACGUAGGGUGCAAGCGUUAAUCGGAAUUACUGGGCGUAAAGCGUGCGCAGGCGGUUUUGUAAGACAGGCGUGAAAUCCCCGGGCUCAACCUGGGAAUUGCGCUUGUGACUGCAAGGCUGGAGUGCGGCAGAGGGGGAUGGAAUUCCGCGUGUAGCAGUGAAAUGCGUAGAUAUGCGGAGGAACACCGAUGGCGAAGGCAAUCCCCUGGGCCUGCACUGACGCUCAUGCACGAAAGCGUGGGGAGCAAACAGGAUUAGAUACCCUUGUAGUCC
rnacentral:rRNA from 1 species